rnacentral:lncRNA from 1 species
ACAUUCUCCCAAUCACAUAUUCCUUGGACUUUAUCGUUUAAGCAUAUAACAUUUAUAUGAGACGGCUUAAACAAUAAUCUUUGCCCUUUAUAUGUAAAACUAGAUUAGUUUAACAUGUGAAAUGUCCGUAAAGUAUCAUCACAUGAUUGGCUUUAGGGCACAUUUCCAACAAGAGCUAGUCAUUAUGUUGAACACAGGCUCGUGCAGUGGGUACACCGGGUCAAUUGAAGAUAUGAGUUUGAACUUGAAUUCCAAUGCACUCCAACGCAUAAGUUCAAGGUGUGGAGCUGAUCAAACGAUCAAACACCAACAUUCAUGGAAUGGGCUUUGACUAUUCUUCAUCUUUCAUUACAUCCACGCUGAUGUGUGAAGUACUAACCUUCUUAUGUUUCCCUUUGCUUGAAAUCUUGAUAGGUGCAAUAGGUGUGAAACUAAGGCCUACCUUCGUAAAGUUAACUCCAUAACCUUGCUUCUUCAGCUUUCUCUGGGUUUCAAUGAGGUCACGUUUCCUUUCACCAAUAAUGCCUAGAUCAUUCUUUUCCGAGUGUUGAAGAUAAGGUAAAGUCAUACCCAGCCUUUGACGUAAGCUUGUGAGCGUUGGGGUCAAAGCCUUCCUCGGUCCUCUUGGUAAGAAGAAAGCCAUGCUCAUCAUGUUUUGCAUUUGUCUAACAAAACUCGGAGAUGAUGGCUCGGAAACACUUGGAUUUUCUAACUUGCAUCAUGCAAUCUUUAUAUGCGCGAGGUUGUUUCGGUGAACUUGGGAAUUUGAUGUCAAAUUAUAAACCCAAAAGUAGGGGUGGGCACGGUUUGGUUUGCUGCGGUUUUGAGUGAAACUGAAACCGAAACCACAACUUUUUGCGGUGCGGUUCAGUGCGGUUUUGAAGCGAAAACCAAAAUGAAACCAAACCGUUUGGUUCGGUUUGGUGCGGUUUCAAAUGGUUUCGGUUUGGUUUUUUAGAUAAAAAAUCUUCAAUUUAAAAUUUAUACUUAUCUACACAUACCACGGUCUCAUUUGCCACACAUACAUUAAUUAACCACCCACAUGAGAAUUCUUUUCUUUACUCUAGCUAGCUAAUUGCACAGAUGAUAAACUCUUGCACAUGUGAUAAACUAUGUGAGUAGGAAAAAGUACCCAAAUGAAGUGAUGCAGCUUAUUACUUAAUUAGACAUUAGAGAUUCGGUCUUGUAUCUCUCCUUCUGUGACUACUCUUAUUUGAUGCUCAUUGUUCCUUUUGAGUUUUCAUUUGCAUUUCUGAUUAAUAUAUUAUAUAGGCUAUCAUUCUGAACUUGAAUUAGGGUUUUGAGGGAUAUAACUAUGACAAAGUUUUCAUCUUUUCCUGUAAAGAAACAUUGAGAUGCCAAGCUUGAUGAGGGAUAUAACUUGGAACAAAUAGUCAUUAUUACGACAUGUACAUACUAAAUGUAUGGACUCUAACAAACAACUAAUUAAAACAUGACAUAUAAUUUGAGGUGCGGUUUCGGUUUCGGUGCGGUUUUCAAAAGCCAAAACCAAAACCAAACCGUUUCCUAUAAUGCGGUUCGGUUUCAAAACCAAACCGUUUGGUGCGGUUUAAAAUCGGCUAGGAGGUUUACCAACAAUGUGCGUGGACAAACAUGUGAUCAUUUUAUUGAUUCAUCAACCAAAACCAUAAGUAUUUAUAUGGUCCGCAUUUUGGUAGGAUUCCACAUAUAUUCCUUUGAAUCCACUUUGACAAGAGGGUGAUUUCAUAUCAUUGCUAGGGAUGAUUUAGAAAAUCAAUUUCUCCAAUGAGCAGGCUUGGCAAAGUGUGCUUGUAAGCAUAUGAUCCUUACUUCAAGUAAGGAGAUGCGUCGUAGCAUCAUUGUUUGACCUAAGUGUCCCAAAUAGUCAUGCCAAGGCAAGUAAACUGCUUGAAUCACCUGGCUCUAGGUUGGCCACAUGUGCGUGUUCCUAGUUGGGAGGCAGCCCAUUGGCCCUAAAACAAAACGUCACACUCAUUUUUGGAGGUGGUGCAAAGAUAUUCCGACACACCCCAACUAGAGUCGAGGCAUGCUGGUCGUCACCCGAAGGUGACGUAACCAAAAGUUUAAGUGAUGUAAAAAUGUGAAUAAAUUAAAACCGAAACUAGAACUUAUUUAAACUAACAAAGUGAGUGCGCAGUAGUGGGUAGAACCUAUAGAAUACAAAUGUUCAGAGCAUAGAUGAUAAAAUAGUGUAGUUGAAACUAGCUAAGUACUUAAUACACAACGGGAUAAGUUCCUACACUUAAACAGAGAUAUGUCAGAAUCGCCAACUAAUCCUCGUAUGCCACCGAUUAAUUCAGCUAUCUAGGACUUGGAGGGGCAAAAAACAGAAGGGUGAGUGGGCAAAACAAAAGUGUAUAAAAACCAUUUAUUUUCUAAACAUAUUAACCCCUUACUGUAAAACAUGUAUGGUUUCCAAAAAAUCAUACUACGUAAGGUAUGAAAUCAAAUGCAAAUCAACAGUAAAUCCAGAAGUAUGCCACAUCACAAUAUCUAAACAGUUAUAUAAGUAAAAUCAGGGGUUCAAACAAUCUAUACUAGCACACAAGUCAGAGUCGCCUAAUGCGACCUGUACGACUGACCUGAUGCUCAUCAAUUUAUGCUAGCACACGAGUCGGAGUCCCCUAAUGCGACUUGUACGACAUGACUAGGUAUAGUCAUAAUAUACGUUCUAGUGCUACAAUCACAUGAAGACUGGAGCUAUUCAAGGUCACCUGUACGACAGGACUGACAUCUACUUGGAUCGAAGGUGAGCGUGCUGGCCCAGGGCAAGCAAUAACACCAGGGUGCAACAAUGAUGAGCAGACUACAUAAAUAUAAGCAUGCCAUAACAAUUCAAUAAUUCUAGUCAACAUAAUAAACUUACUUGACAAUAAACUUACAUGUGCAUCCCGUAGGAUUAUUUUAGCAUUUCACCACAGUACAACAUUUCUUAUAACAUUAUUUAAUCAUGGCAUGAUAUGCAUAAAUCAAUUCAAAAGCAUUUAUGGAAGCUAUAAU